rnacentral:lncRNA from 1 species
AGACUUCAGUUUCUGUUCUCUAUCGAUUUUUCAGCCAUGUCUGUCGACUUUGAUUUUCUCUGCUAAAAUAACUUGUGGGCAAAUUUCCACUGUUCGCUAUAGUUGUGUCUUGUCUUCAGUUAUGCUUGGAGUCCCCUUUAAGAGAUGGUGUUCCCCCCACCCCCCCAUGCUGAAAAAUUCAUCCCUCAGGUUGAUAGCACAGCAGGCAGGCAGGCAUUUUCCUUUCUGUCUUUCAUGUAAUGACCGUGAAAUCCCUUCCAUAAGAACAUAGAGGUUUUGUUCUGUUCUGUUUCUAUUUUCAGAACAAUAAGUCUCCAAUGCACCACCACCCACCGGAAAAAGAGCACACAGUGACUGACAAGACAAUCCUACAACAGAGAUCUUCUUAUAUGCUGGCAAUGCUGUGUUAGUGAGUACAACUGAAAUUUAAAAA